GAAACUUAAAGGAAUUGACGGAAGGGCACCACCAGGAGUGGAGCCUGCGGCUUAAUUUGACUCAACACGGGAAAUCUCACCAGGCCCGGACACCGGAAGGAUUGACAGAUUGAGAGCUCUUUCUUGAUUCGGUGGGUGGUGGUGCAUGGCCGUUCUUAGUUGGUGGAGCGAUUUGUCUGGUUAAUUCCGAUAACGAACGAGACUCUGGCCUACUAACUAGACGUUAGAUCAUUUAUGGUCUUUCGCAGCUUCUUAGAGGGACGGGCGGCGUUAUAGCCGCACGAGAAUGAGCAAUAACAGGUCUGUGAUGCCCUUAGAUGUUCUGGGCUGCACGCGCGCUACACUGUAGGAAUCAGCGUGUGUACCCUGUCCGAAAGGACUGGGAAACCCGUUGAACCUCCUACGUGAUGGGGAUUGGGGAUUGCAAUUAUUCCCCAUGAACGAGGAAUUCCCAGUAGGCGCGAGUCAUAAGCUUGCGUCGAUUA
rnacentral:rRNA from 1 species